rnacentral:rRNA from 1 species
UACGUAGGGUGCAAGCGUUGUCCGGAAUUAUUGGGCGUAAAGAGCUCGUAGGCGGUGUGUCGCGUCGGCCGUGAAAACCUGGGGCUUAACUCUGGGCUUGCGGUCGAUACGGGCAUCACUGGAGUUCGGCAGGGGAGACUGGAAUUCCUGGUGUAGCGGUGAAAUGCGCAGAUAUCAGGAGGAACACCGAUGGCGAGGGCAGGUCUCUGGGCAUUAACUGACGCUGAGGAGCGAAAGCAUGGGGAGCGAACAGG